UUGACAAAGUGGUCAUUGAGGGCAAUGCCAGCCCCAGCAUUAAAGGUAGAAGAGUACGCGUCUACUGUUAAAGUGUCAGGAGACCACCUGCUACUCAGUCCAGCAUGCUCUUGAGGGGUCCCGCUAAUUCCUGCUUCACCACCAUCUUGAUAUCGUCCUAUUUG
rnacentral:lncRNA from 1 species